rnacentral:sRNA from 1 species
UGUUAAUAAUUACAAAAAGUAAUGUUACACCGUGACCAACCUCAAUUCUUUGCACUCAACAUUUGAUUUCAUAUUCAUUGAUUUCCAGAAAGGGUUUUCAUGUGGAUCAUCUCGUUUGUCCUGUACAAAUCUCCUAAAGAUGAUCUUCCUUAUUCAUAAUCAACAGUUGUACGUCCUCAAAUUGCUAUGAUAGUCGAUUCGGCGUGAGACAAGAUCCUCAGCAUUGAAACUUCUUUCCCUAUGGAAUCGCUUUCUCAGGCGCCUGACGUUCCGUCGCAUUGUUUCCAGCUCACGGGUCCACCGUGAUUCACCGUGCUCAUUCACUCGUCUACCUUAGCAAUUUGGUCAUCUACGGUCAGUGCUCUAAAGUCAUCUAAAGACAAUGCUGAUGCAGUCCCCCUAAAACUUUCAACAUACAAGUCCCAGUUCACGUCUCGAUCUCUCCAGCACCUGGAUCGUUCAGUCAUAAUCCGAGUCCGUCGAUCCCUGAAAACGACCAGAAUUUUAAUUGGAUUAUGUUCACUUGAGCUUUAUUCGUCACAAACCCUCCAUCUGGUAAGCAGUAAAUGCCGCUCCUUUUGCUGCCGUAACAUCAAUGUAUCUAACGCCUGAAGGCCCAUCAUAGUUAUACUUCUCGCUCGGCAUGCUCGACACACCGACGUCAUUCAAAGUCAAGUCGAUUCUCAUGAUCAAGCGAGUGCUGGGUCAUUUUCGAGAACCACAUCGAGGAGAUUGCAUUGACGUCUAGACUUAGGAUGAGCAGAUUGCUACUCGCUAGUAGUAGCACUGUAUCCAUAUCCAAGAUUGUCGGCGCUAAACCUACAAUAGAUGGUAGCCUAGAAUAUCUUACCCCACCGCCCUUCAGCACAAAUGCAGACUCCCGUACAGUCAAUGUCGCUGUUAUACAGUUACAGUUACCGCUGUUAGUAAAGACUCGCAAACCCCACAGCAAUCCUACAACACUACCAUCGACUACAUGCGGUUCCUGUACCAGCUCGACCGCCAAUCAAACCAAUUAUAUUAAUAAAAUUUGAUCCCCAUGAGGAUCUUUAAUGCCUAGCGUUCGCCCUAGCCGCCAAACGAGCAUAGAUCGGACAGGCCGGUGAGAUCAUCAUGUGAUCCCCCGGCAACCCCAUAAACGAACAAUUCCUGCAAUAAACGGGGUUCGAACAUGCCGAAGCCAUAUAUCCGCCCAAUCCGCAACGCCGACAGACAUCACCCUUCACGCGGCAAUCCCGUAUCCUAUGGUCGAAACUUAUGCAACGGUGGCAUGUGAAGACCGCAUCCUGCAUAUGGGCGGUGAAGCGGAACCACUACACAUACGCCCCCUCCUCACACAACUUAUCCGCCACCCUCGAAGUACACUUCAGGGUGACGUUGAAUCGCCGUCCUCAGGCUUCCAAGGCGCAGAAGCCAAUCGUACUGACCGACGGAAAACGUCCUCGCUAAUCGACACCUUCAAGUUGAGGGAGUACAGCUCUGCCAUAAACUCAUCAGGAGUUAUGAUAGCAUGCAAUCCCCUCACCACUACCUUGUGGCCCAGCUUCUCGCGAAACUCCACCUCCAAUUCCAUCUCCGCGAACUUCUCCUUCGCCUUUAUGCGGUCCCUCUCAGCAACCGAGGGUUUGCGGAUAACCGCCCCGCCAUGACGAGUCAGACGGACCCCGUGAACCCUUACAUCAAGUGUGGGGCCCACCUCCCCUACCACCUUUUUGACGACCUCCGCAGAAGUUGUCACCGCCUUCCGCUUGCCUUUCACCACCACCGACCACGUCUCCACCGGGCAGCGACAACGACGGGGGCAACAAACGUGCCGGAGCGUGUUUGAUAACGGGGGCAACAGGCACCGACUGCGAAACAGCCGUACGCCCACCCACGCUACCUUCACCCACCAACACGCCGCGAGCAGCCAUCGCGUCAUACACAUACAACUUCCCCUUCAACGCCUUGUUAUCCAGCACAAGACGUAUGAGGAGCUCCUCAUAUUGUUCAGCGUACUGAAUAACCCUCCUAUGCACAGCGCCACUAACACCUGCCUCAUGCACCGUCUCCACCGGGGUCACCUCCUUCAUCUCCCCAACAGUGACCCCUUGCUUCCCCAGGGAAGCAAACACCCGCCUGCGACCCCUACUCUCUCGCUCUACCUUCCUCGGAGUCAAAGCCCCGUCAUUCCAGGCGAACCCAGCUUCAGGCGUUUGCCAUCCUCCCCACCACUCUCACUGGACAACAACUCCACCAACUCCUUCCUCAACCUAGCCUCUCGUCCAGCACGGGCCACCGACAAAUAUAUACUAAUCACACAGUCCUAUGUCCCCCACCUGCUGCACUCCCCUUCUUCUCUAUCAACCUCUUCACUAUCACCUUUAAGAUCCUCCUCUCCAGCAUCAAAAACAUUCCAUGUCUAACUGGUCAAAACAAAUACUCCAAAAAAUUCACCAAGAAUAUCCGAUAAACUCACUUUCACCGCUAACAGAAGUGUGGCAACACCGAAUGACGCCCGGUUUCAACCGUCAAAGUUGAAAAUUGUUUAACCUUUCUGCGUUGCUUUUGUGGAAUUUGUGUGCAGAGUUGCAUUUGUGCAACACGACGCUCAAAACCAAAUCUCAUUCUGUUUUGGCCUUAACAGUUGACUGUCCGACAGUUGGUCUGGAGAAUUCACAUGUUGAGGUAUUACAUGCGUCGAAAUCAGAUAAAAUCAAUGAUAUCUUCGCAGGAGUUGUGUACAUGCCGUUCGAUUUGCCAAGUGGUGCAAAUGGGCAAAAGAUAAUUUACUCAAUGCCUGGAAAACUCCCUACGGUGUAAGCAUAUUCCAGUCCAGGAAACGGAAACAUCUUCUAUACAUAGCUGCGGCAUAACAACUGAAGAUAAGUACAUUGUGAUGGGAUUCUGAGAUAAGAAAGCCACGGGCUACGAAAUUAUCUUCUUAACCCGUCUCCAAACAGCGAUCUACACAAAGAUUGAAAAUGCAAACGAUAACUAUUGUGGGGUUUCAAUUAUAAAUUGUGUCUUUUGUAUUUUACAUUUUUGUAUUCUUCGAAUAAUGAUGAUUACAUUGUA